ACCGCCACGUGUACCAUGGACAUUAUAUAAAGGGGACUCCAACUGCUUCAGCACCACUUGAGAACCAACGUUGAACCUGAAAUCAGCUUUGAAGUUUGCGACGUUUUGUAGGAUGGCCAGCUCGGUUACCGAUCUUGAUGAACUCCUCAAACAAUGGGCGUGG
rnacentral:misc_RNA from 1 species